rnacentral:rRNA from 1 species
GACGAACGCUGGCGGCGUGCUUAACACAUGCAAGUCGAACGGAAAGGCCCUGCUUUUGUGGGGUGCUCGAGUGGCGAACGGGUGAGUAACACGUGAGUAACCUGCCCUUGACUUUGGGAUAACUUCAGGAAACUGGGGCUAAUACCGGAUAGGAGCUCCUGCUGCAUGGUGGGGGUUGGUAAGAUUCGGCGGUUGGGGAUGGACUCGCGGCUUAUCAGCUUGUUGGUGGGGUAGUGGUUGACCAAGGCUUUGACGGAUAGCCGGCCUGAGCGGGCGACCGGGCACAUUGGUACUGAGAGACGGCCCAGACUCCUACGGGAGGCAACAGUGGAGAAUAUGACACAAUGGGGGGAAGCCAGAGGCAGCAACGCCGCGUGCGGGAUGACGGCCUUCGAGUUAUAAACAGCUUUCGCCUGUGACGAAGCGUGAGUGACGGUAACGGGUAAAGAAGCACCGGCUAACUACGUG